UACGCAAUGACGUUCACACGUCAAGCGGUCAAGCGGCCCAUUUUAUAUUUUUAUACACUUUUAAUUAAAAAUAACUUAUUAAAGUAUUAAAGUAACUAUACAGUGAAAUGUCGACAUAUAAUACACAGUGCUAAUGAAACUAUAGAUAAAUAAAUCGAAUUUAGAUCCAAUUACGGUAAAAGCGUAUCGCGCGCUAUCGCCAGUCGCCACCACCAUGGUCUCAUCUUAAAAUCGCAUAAAACAUUCAGAAGACCCGUCGAGGAAAUAGUCCAGGAAACGUAGUUCCGAAAGUCAUUGAAUUAUGAAGUGGGGACAAUGGAUUACAGGAGAAGGUUGGUUUCCGCGCCGGCUGCGAGCCGGAUGAGAGACGCAAAACUUGCAAAUCAGUUCAGGACAUUCCGUUUUAAUGCGUACCUUCUCUCGUGCACUCAAGAACGCGCGAAUGAAGCUUAAAUCAUUUCAAAGGACACUUACGUUUCUCUAGUCAACCGAGAUGAUUUCUUCAACCGCAAAACUUUAAAUUAGGAUUCUGGCCUGAGAAGUCCUCACGAGCAAUUCUCCGUCCAAUUUCAGAAAAGUUUCACUCGGACUUUGUGAUUUUUCCCCGUCGAAUCACGUGGUUGAUCCUGAAUUUAAUCACGUUGGUCAUUUUGGGAUGUGCAGUUUCCACAUUUUUCACGAC